UUCUCUUAGACCAGUCAAAUUUCCAAUCCCAGCGGGUAUGGCACCAUGAAACAUAGAAAAACUGAGAUCAAGAUAAGAGAGUCUGUGGAGUUUCCAUAGCCAGUUGGGGAUGGUGGAGUUGAAGAGGUUGCCAAAGAGAUCGAGAGUGGUCAACGUCGUGAGGUUGACAUGGGAAAGAGAAGAGGGGAGGUCGGUGAGGCCACAGUAUUGUAAAUGUAGCUCCUCCAGUGAGGACAACAUGUUCACCGCUUGAAGCCAAUUGUGGGAGGCCAUGGAAAGAUUCCCAAAGCUCAUGUCGAGGUAUCUCAAGGAAGUGAGACGCGAGAGCCAGUGCAGGCCAUCGGUCGAUAAGCCACCCGAAUUGAGAUCGAGAUAGCGGAGGCUGGACAGGUUGCCCAGCUGGGGCGGAAUGGCUCCGCUGAAGUUGGACCAGGAGAGGUCGAGAUACGUCAACUUGGUAAGGGAACCCAAAAAUUUCGGGAUUUGGAUCCCACCGAAGUCAUUGUAGCUGAGGUUGAGGCGCUCCAAAUGAGUUAGAAGGAGCAAGGAUGGUCUGAUCUCACCUCCGAUAGACGUCUCAUAGUUAUAAGGGUCGGAAUUCUGGAGGUUGAGCUCCACGACAUGGCCGGUUCUGUUGUCACAGACCACCCCGCUCCAUCUGCAGCAGUCUACUCGGCCUCGCCAUGAUGACAAACUGCUAGAAGGAUCCUUGACGAUGCCGGUUUUGAAGUCGAGGAGGGCGUCCCUCUCACCCUCUACGCACCCCUUCGUCGUCGGCGUUGUUGCCGCCGUGAACAAAAGAAUGCUCGUAAGCCAACGCCCGAAAGAGUAGUGCCGUGGCACAGGGUGUGUGCUACUGGUGCAAUAGUCCAUGAGGCUAUUUGGUGAGUGGAUAGUGUACUGAGAGAUGGAAGGCGGCGGAGGACAUGUAUAUAUAGAGUGGGUGUGGGGGCGUGAUGGCCCUCCCCUCCCGCAACCCAUCAUAGACUCCUGUGAAACGUUAAGAUUGAUGCACUGGUAGCGAUGUAUAGAUAAAAAACAUGACUUUUGUGGGAUUCGACUCCUGCCGGACCUGCAGUCUGUGCACCUUGCAGCUUACUCGAACUUGGUUUCUACCCUGCCUGGGUCCCAAAGUUGGGGCUCGGUUCGCAAGAACGAAAGAGAUUGAUACUGGAUUACAAACUUGAAAGAAACGGCCAUUUAAUCGGCCUUGUUGGAUUGCGUAGAACGUCUCAUUCGGCCCGAAUGCGAUAGUGUGGAAUCGAAUUCAUGCCUCCCUCAUUCCACACGGUUUGAUUCUGAUGUCCGCACAUCGGAACGCAUCAUCUUCUUAGCCAAGAUAAAAUGUAUGGAGGCGAUGAAUACCUUAUUCCAGGGGUCGAAAUGUCGCCAUGACAUGUCAAACGUCAUCACGGAAGACAACGUGGAUGAAGACUCCGACCCACCGCAAACGAUUCCUCACCCAAGAUAACACGGUAAGCCAUCGCUUUACAUGUAGCGUCCUUCCGAAAGAGGGAGACUCAACGAUGUUUGUAGCGGAACGCACGCUUCGCUUUCACAUGUGUGGAAAUCUUUGUUGGGAACCCAAAGUCACGCAACAAAUUGAUUCGUUUGACACACAAGUGGUGAAGAUGAUGAGGAUUUCCCACCAUUUUUGUGAUGAAUUUUGUGGGGAAUUGUCCCCACAGGAGCGAAAGAAAUGGCUGCAAAUUUUCUGUUCUUUUUAUCUCUUUCGUUUUCUACAAAAUUGCACUUGUUUUUAUUCCCUUCAAAAUUAAUGAUUUCGUACUUAUUUAAAAUUAACUUGAUUAUGCAAUUCUUAUUACCUAAUCACCAAUAAAGAUAUAGAUUUACAACCCAAAUGGAUGGGUCUUCCAUGAUCCCAAGUUGAUUCCCCUAUGCUUUUGUUCUGGAGAGAUCAUCCUGGCUAACACCCAAAUGGACGGAUGACAUGCACUGAGCUACCUUGGAGAUGUGGGUGACUCCGUGAGUUUUUUUGUACGUAAGCGUGCUUGUUUUUGUUAAUGAUUGCCGGAGAAGUUUAUAUAGUUAUUGAUAAAAGAAAAAAUAAUAUUAAAUCUAGUAUAAUAUUCAUGUGAAAUCUGGGGAUAUAAUGACUGAUCGAAUUACGCAUUCAUUAAUAUUUUUUUCAAAAACAAAUUAUAAUAUAAUUGUAUGUUAUAUUGAACAUAUAAAAUAUAUGAAAAAUAAAUAAUUGUAUGAUUUCAUUCAAUCGUUUGCUUGUUCCAGCAUUUAUCAUCUAUACGUGAGAGACCAAACCAUUCCUUGGAUCCAUCCUACUCGAAAUCAUCAUACGACCAUCUAAUCAACAAACCAUUACUGCAGCCAAUCAUAGAAAAACCAAGAUUGGUCGUAUAAUAUUUGUAAUAUUUCCAAGCAUAUAAUGAACAAACGAAAAAAAAAAAAAAAAAGCUUGAGAUUGUGCGUCACAUAACCUUCAAAACAUUCAGUAGAGAUACUUGUACAUAUUAACCUCAUCGCAACCUUUAAUUCAUUGUCAACCUAGCCGUGAUGUCAGCAUAAAAUUUAUAAUAUACUAUAUUAAAUAUAAAAAUAAUCUUUUAUGUCAAAAUUAAAAUCAAAUAAUUAGAUCUGAUUUUACGAUAUGUACCUUUUGAUGUCAUCUGAAAGGAUGUUUGAUCUACAAGGAUACCGUAUUUAAAUCCAAUAUCGUUAUCAGUCUGCAAAAUGAACUAUAUCCUCUCUUCCUAUCCUUUCAUAAAACCACUUAGAUUGAUGGUUAAGGAGAAGCGUUGAAAGAGAUGCGUUGAAAGAGAUACUUUAAUCCCUCAACUAUAAUUACUAUUCCUCUUGUUUAGUCCUUAUAAGUCAUGUCUAUUUAUAAACGAGAGCAGAUGGUUUAGAAUAAGUAAUUAAAAUAGUUUCUCCUGUAUCCUAAGGAAUCCUACUUUAAUAUAGUGGCUAAUAUAUUACAUCAAAAUCCAAUUAGUUAUAUUAUAUAUUUAUUAUCUAAUUAUAAAUGACCACAAAAACUAAUAUUUUGUCACUUGACCCAUUAAUUGAUAAGAUAUAAAAAAGAUAUUCAAAAUCAAAAUAAAUAAAAUAAAAUUUAUUUUAAAAUAAUUUUACCUAAUUGGAUUUCAAAGAAUUUUGAAAAUCAUUUUAUACAUGGUCAUGAAUUUUAAAAUAAACCAAUAAGUCCAAUAUACAUAAUAAUACUAUAUUAAGCUCAACUAUCAAUACGAAUCAUAACGGUUGUAUAUCAUCAAUGUCAUACUUUUUUCUAUAUACUACAACAUUAUUAGUCUUUCCUAAUAUAUUUCAUAAUGACCCAUAUAAUUUAUCUUGUCAAGACAAUUUUGUAAUAGCAUUUAUCUAAACAUGCAUAAUCAUAAUCAUAUAUUAAGCUCACAAGCCUCAUUCUAAGAACCUAUUCUUUAAAUAUUUUAUAUUAUAAAGCUUUUGUUAAUAGAUCAGCAAUCAUCAUAGUGGUGCUCAGGUUGUCAAUUGACACUUACUGUUUCUGGAUUCUUUCUCUAACCACCGAGUAAUUUAUCUCGAUAUGCUUGGAACCACUAGAGUACUUAUCAUUUUUAGAGAAGAAAAUUACUGUGAUAUUAUCACAAAAUAUCUUCAAUGGUCUGGUAAUUGAGUCAACCACACAAAGUCCUAAGAUGAAAUUUCAUAGUCAUAAAACUUGAUUUGUGGCCACAAAGCAUGCCACAAAUUCAACUUUCAUUGUUGAUGAUACAAUAAGCGAUUACUUUACACUUUUUCAAGAAAUUACCCAAUCAGCUAACAUGAAUACAAAUCCAGAAGUGGACUUUCAACUGUCGAGAUAAUUUGCAAAAUCAGCAUCUGAAUAUCCUAUCACUUCAAGCUGAUCUGAUAUCGUAUAUGUGAGCAUAUAAUCUUUCGUCCCCUAUAGAUAUCCAUUACUUUAAUUGCAGCUUUCCAAUGUUCUAUUCCUGGGUUACUUUGGUAUCUUCAUAGCAUUAUAAUUGUAAAACUAAUAUAUGAUCUUGUACAUGUUUGAGCAUAUAAUAGACUUUCAAUUGCACACCCAUAAUGAAUAUUUUUAUUUGAUUUUUUUGUAAGUCAUUUUUCGGGCAUUGGUUUUGAUUGAAUUUUUCACCUCUAGUAAUAGGUAUAUCAUUAGCUCAUAUUAAAUCUCUCCAAAAUAUGAUUAAUAUAUGGUUUCUGAGUCAAUCAUAAUAAUCCUUGAGAUCUAUCCUUAAAUAUCUCAAUGUCAAUAAUAUAUACUGCCUCAUUCAUAUAAACCAUCUUAAAGUUCUUGUUGAGAAAUAUCUUGGUUUCGUGCAAUAAACCAAGAUCACUACUUGUAAGUAAAAUAUUCGUUGAAUCUCAAAUUUUGAUGAUGAAACUAAUUAAUAAGUGUUUAUGAUUUGAUUUGCGUUUUGAGUGAUACAGGAUGCUUCAAUCUAGGAGAGACAAUUAAAGUGGAAGAAUCAUGUUGGGCCGGUGGAACAUGUCAAAAGAUUGGACGUCAAGCCUGAAGAUCGGUCGACGUAUCGACAUAAGGCUUCAGGCCAAGAAGAGCGGAUAUUGCCCCAAAGAUAUCGGAGUUGCGGAGGUCAACUGGUCGAUUGGGCAAUGAACCCACAAGAGAGGACGAUGCGUCGAAGAAUCGGACGAAGCGUCGAUAGACUAAUGACAUGUCGGACAACAUGAUUCAUGCUUAGUAAUAAUUAUCUAGAUCGAAGUGUGUUUUAUGUGUGUAGGAUUAACUACGAUAGCAAGGCAUAAAGCAAAAUGAAGUCCCGGAGUCAAGAACGUGAUUUCGUUGGGAGUUCGAGAGUUCGUCAGAAGUCCGAACGUUCGUCAGAAAUUCUACCGGAACCAACCAAGAAGUCCAGGAGCUUGCCAGAGAAGCUCAUCGAAAUUAGCCAAGAAUAUCAUCGUGAAGUCUAGGAGCUUGCCGGGAGUCCGUUGGAACAUGCCGAGAGAUCGUCGGAAGUUCGCCGGAAGAAACCUUGACUUAUCGGACUUAUUUAGCUUAGUGUAUGCUUUAGAAUUCGUAGUUAGCAUAUAAUUGGGAUUGGAAUUUGGCCAACCCAAUUAUGGGCUAGUUGGGCCCAUGUAAGGACUGUGUUGAGCCUAAUAAAAGGCUCAAACAAUGACCCAAGAGGUGGCACUGUCGUGACAUAGUCUUCGAGACUAUGUCAGGCGAUGGUAUCGCCGGUCUGGGCGAUGGUACCGCCCAGACAAAGUCUCUAAGAGACUAUCAAGCAGUGGUACCGCCAGUCUAGGCGGUGGUACCACCCAGCACAAGCUGUGGUAUCGCCCGUACCUAGGAAACCCGCGAUGAGAUAUUUUUAGGCUCCAAGUUUGAAUCAACUUGAGGCCUAUAAAUACACCUCUUAUCCCUGGUUAACAUACACAAGCACAAAUAAUUUAAAAGUGAGAAAACGCUAUUGCAAUCUCUUGAGAAAUUCUCUCCUCUACUCUAAGUCUAGAAUUCUGUUUAAGUGAGGAGUGAGUGCUUGUAAAGGUUAUCUCCUAAACCUGUGAAAAAAAGAAGAGAGGUGUAAAAUGGUAGUUGAUCUUCGCCCAUUGAAAGAAGAUCGAUAGUAGAUGCCGAUGGUCUCGACGGAAGAAGAAUCGAUAGAGUGGAUGUAGGUCAUGAUGAGUGAACCACUAUAAAAAUAUGGUUUGCUGUUCUUUUGUAUAAUUUAUCUUACUGCAAACCUCCUUACUUACUGUUAUACUCUUCCGUACACUCUCAAGUUAUCCUUGGAAGAAUCGGUUUUAAUCGAACGAAUAUUUUCAAACUGACGUAAUUUUACCGUUGCACUAAUUCACCCCCCCCUCUUAGUGCCGACUCAUUCCUAACAAUAUCAUCAACAUAUAAGACCAGUAUAUGCACUGAUCAACAGUGUUUUCAAUAAAUCUAAAGGAAGUAAUGGUAUUACGAAACUUUAUAUACUAUUAUCUAGAAACUUAUUUAAGGCAAUAAAUAGAUUUCUUAAGUUUACAAGCCCAACUUUCUUUUUCCUUUUCGAUGAAUCAUUUAGGUUAUUCCAUAUAGAUUUUCUCAGCCAAAUCCCCAUUCAAAAAUGUUGUUUUCACAUCCAUCUGAUAUAACUCGAAAUCAUAAUGAGCUACUAAUGCCAUGACGAUUCUCAACGAGUUCCUUUUAGAAACUAGAGAAAAAGUCUCGUUAUAGUUGAUGUCUUUUUUCUAAGAAAAACCUUUGGCCACAACUCUUUUAUAAUUAUCGAGCAAUUCAAUGAGUUCCCAAACAUCAUUCUGGAUUAUUGAUUUUAACUCUUCUUGUAUUGCAUCGUACCAUUUUUCAGAAUUGUUACUUUUUAUGGCUUAUGAAAGCAAAAAAAGGGGUCUCUUUUUAUUCAUAUAUCAUAAUAUGAUUCUUGUAGAUAUACCACAUAAUCAUCAGAAAUUACAUGUUUCCUUUUUCUUUGAGAUCUUCUCAAAGUUAUCGAUUGUGAUUGUUCUACAAGUUCAUCAGUGGUGACAUCAACAUCAUGCGAGAGUUUUCAUUAAUUUGAGAAACAACAAUCACUCAAAUAGGAGAUUAUAUGAGAGAAUUAAUCUGAAUCUUCUCAAUAUCAAAAUUGAUCAUUCUAUAUUUAGAUCCAAGAUUGAUGGUUAGAGAGAAGAGUUAGAGAGUGACUUUGAUCCCUCAAUUAUAAUUUCUUUCUUUCUUGUUUAGUCCCUAGAGAUCUUGUCUAUUUAUAAGUAAGAAUAGAGGAUCUAGAAUAAAUAAUUAGGAGACUUCCUUCCAUCAAUAUUAUCUCAUAACGAAUCAUAUUUUACACGUACUUCUUUUCUAUUGACUAAUAUAUUAUAUCAGAAUCUAAUUAGUUAUAUUAUAUAUUUUUUAUCUAAUUAUAAAGGAUAAUCUAAAUAUAAAGGGUCGUAAAUAGAAUCCUCGGUCAAAAGUGUGCAAGAACUGCAUGCGUAUGUAACAAGAAAGCAAAGACAGAUGGUCUUCAAAGAGAUUUGCGAACUAAGAUACUGUUCUUGGAAGGACAUGGCCAAUUAAUGGCCCUCCUCAGAUUGGGUUCCACAUUGGCUCUACUCCAAAGCCUUGUUUGACCUGCCGUUCAUUAUGAUAGAAAUAAUAGAAGAUAAGAACAAUAAUGGAAGAAGCUUUAUUGUAGAAAUGAAAUAGCUUUAGCUUAAAUACAUUAACAUGUUCCUCUCCUAUUUAUAGGAUUAGGAGGGAGGAUUUUCCUCAACAGAAUAGAUAAGAUUUCCUCAUAUAGUGAGGAAAUCUUAUCUUCUAUCAUGCCCCCGUAAGAUGGUGCUCCUGACAAGGAUACCAAUCUUGGAACGAUGCAAGGAAUGAUUUACAAGCAAGAGGCUUCAUGAGUAGGGCAAGAGUUGAUCGCUACUGUUGCUGCGAUUGCUGUUGCUGUGAGGGCACAGGCGUUCCUUUCGUUCUCCUUAAGUCCGCCCUUCGUUCUCCUUAAGUCCACCGACUGUAGAAGAUGAGGAUUGGCCGUGAAACCUCUUAGGAAUGUGCCUGUAGCGACGUUGGUAGCUGGCCGAAGGCAAGGGCGAAGCUUCGCUUUUCUCACUGCUCUGAUACCAUGAUAGAAAUAAUAGAAGAUAAGAACAAUAAUGAAAGAAGCUUUAUUGCAGAAAUGAAAUAGCUUUAGUUCCUCUCCUAUUUAUAGGAUUAGGAGGGAGGAUUUUCCUCAACAGAAUAGAUAAGAUUUCCUCGUAUAGGGGAAAUCUUAUCUUCUAUCACAUUGCACGUAAUCUUCCUGGCUAUUACUUUGCUGCUUCAAUAAUUCGUAAAAAAGAUAAUUGGAAAUUAGAUGGAAGAGAUGUGAAUUCAUAUGUAAUUUUAGGCUAUAUAAAGGCCACGAAAUAAGCCCAUUCUCUGUCUUUACCCAUCGCCUCAGCCUCGGUGGGAUCCCUCCCGUGGCGGCUACCUUUCUCGCAAGCACCGGAAUGGUAGGUUGGGCUGCUCCCUCUGCCUGCAGUCUGUGGAGUAAACCUCGAUACGAAUCGUCGAUGCGACUUGGUGCAUCGGAAGAUAGAUUUCCGAAACGUGGAGUAAAUCUUGAUUUCGUGAUGGCAAAGGAGAUGAGCCACAUCCAAACCGUGAGAUCGUCACUGCAAAAUGCCAAAGGAACCAUGCAAUGGAUCGCCAAGGACGUCGUAGUACAACAGACAGUGAUCGUACACCCUAAAAACAAUGGCUCAUCACAGCGCCCAACGAUCAACGAUGCGAAAUGUCAAGAACACCAUGCGAUCACCGACGACAAUGAAAAGAAUCUGUGCAGAAUGGUGAUCUUUAUAUCACUUGGCUAAGGAACCUCUCGUAGCGAUAACUGAUAACAAUGUUAAAUCAGUGCAGUUUUGUCGUCCGAUGGUGCCUGUUUAUGCGAGAGAGAUCUGUGCGGUCAAUGAUGGAAGAAGAAGGAUUCCCAAACCAGACGAGUUGUUCUCGAUGCCUCCUACAUCGGAACAGAAACAGAGUUUGAGAUUAACAUUUCAUAAUCUUCAAAACGAGAUCCUUUUUGACAGAUGAAAUGGAUCACACUUAUAACACGAAAGAAACUUGCAUCACAUUCGAUCAGCUGCGUCAUGGCAAUUUCGCAUUCUUAUCUUGAUUGCCACAUAAGCUCUGUCGUACAUCUUGUCCACCGUUGCAAAAUAGAAGAGCCUCCAAUCUUUCUUGAACAGCAUGAUCACGAACACGCUCCAUAAGCCGACCAAAUAUCCGAGCCCGGUACUAAAGUAAAAUGACAGCACACGAGAUCCUUGUUCGUACUCCUCCUCCGUCGAAUCGACGUUGGGAUCGUCGGAGCAACUCUUGGUCACCGGAGGUCCACAGAGAUGGACAUUUCCGAUAUAAAUGGAUGCAUCCUCCAGCGUCCGAAGUUGAUUCCCCGAUGGAAUCGCUCCCGAUAGAUUGUUGUAAGACAGAUUCAAGUGGUUCAGAGAAUUCAGCGCAGAAAAGCUUUGAGGAAUGCCUCCGGAUAACUUAUUGAAUGACAGAUCCAGAGUUUCCAAUGAUUUCAUGGCACCAAUUGCCGCCGGAAUUUGGCCGACAAAAUUGUUUCUCGAUAGAUUUAAAGUUUGGAGCAUUGAAAGAGACCCAAUUUCAAUUGGGAUUUCUCCUGUCAAAUUAUUAUUUGAAAGAUCUAUAAUGUUGACAAGGUAAAGAAUGAUUGAAAAAUUAUAAUAUCUUCCCUUUAUAGUUAGAGCGAUGCUAUCUUCAUAGUUGUCAAAAGGCCACAAAGCAGGGCGGUCCUUUACAAAGGGACUAUAAAAUACUUGUUUGUCUCGACGAGUCAAAUGCUGUUUCCAAUGAGUCAUUGCAGCAUUUAAAUUGCCAAAGGAGUGUGGAAUUGGCCCUGAUAAUUUAUUAUUAGCAAGGUCGAUAACAUGUAGAUAAGCAAGUUGCCCAAGCUCUGCAGGAAUGUUACCGGAAAACAUAUUUGAGCGUAGUCGGAGUACCUCUAGGUCUAGAAAAUUUUGUGCAAUCCAUGUAGGUAUGCUACCCGAGAAUUUAUUAUUGCCAAGAUCAAGAAAAACUAGUGCACUGCAAUUUUUCAAUGAUGAUGGAAGAAGCCCAUGUAGUUUAUUAUUGUUUAAGUGGAAAGACUCGAGCCAAAUCAAAUUUUCAAUAGAGCUGGGAAUUUCUCCCGAAAGCUUAUUAUUUGCCAGAUUAAUGGAGGAAAAGUAGUUUGUCUCCUGCCAACACGAAGGGAUUUCACCUGAUAUUUGGUUGCUCGAUAGAUCGAGAAUAUCAAGUCGAUGACAGUUGCAGAUAAAGGACGGUAUGCUCCCGUUAAUAUGGUUACGUGAGAGAUCCAAGAUUCUAAAUUCUAGUGUGGGAAAGAUCGAUGGCAAUGAUCCUGAUAAAGAAUUACAAGCCAGAUUCAAAUAACGCAAGUAAGAUAGCAAAACCAAGGAAGUUGGCAAAGUGCCGUUAAUUUGAUUUUGGGAGAGAUUUAUAAAAGAAGCAGAGUUAUUCCAAAACCAAUCAGGCAAGACGUCCUCGAUGCUUGUGUUCGACAUAUCCAAAUAUCUAAUGGAGUUUUGUGAACGGAGCCAUCUUGGAAACGCAGGACCCAACUUACAAGAACUCAGUUUAAUGGAUCGGAGUUGAAAAGGAGGAACCCAAUUGUGGUCUAUUGAGAUGACUAGGGAGUUUUCGAAUAGAUCGAGCUCACUUAGUUUGGUUAAGUUAGCGAAAUGGAGUUCAGACAUGGUGCCCUCUAGGGAAUUACUAGAGAGAGAAAGAAUAGUGAGGUUGGAAAGCUUGCCGAUCUCAAUGGGUACGGGACCUGAAAGUGAAUUAUCGUUAAGAUAAAGCUCUCCUAGACCGGUCAAAUUCCCAAUCCCAACAGGUAUGGGUCCAAAGAGUGAAUUAUCAUUAAGAUAAAGCACUCCUAGACUAGUCAACUUCCCAAUCCCAGCAGGUAUGACUCCGAAGAGUGAAUUAUGAUCAAGAUAAAGCUCUCUUAGACUAGUCAAAUUCCCAAUCUCAGCAGGUAUGGGUCCAAAGAGUGAAUUAUAACUUAGAUAGAUAAGUUUUAGACUAUUACAAAUUCCAAUCUCAGUGGGUAUGGGACCUGAAAGUGAAUUAUCACUCAGAUGAAGUUCUCUUAGAUCGGCCAAAUUUCCAAUCCCAGCGGGCAUGGCACCAUGAAACAUAGAAGAACUGAGAUCAAGAUAGGAGAGGUUGUGGAGUUUCCAUAGCCAGUUGGGGAUGGUGGAGUUGAAGAGGUUGUCACUGAUGUCCAGAGUGGCCAGUGCUGUGAGGUUGACAUGGGAAAGAGAAGAGGGGAGGUCGGUGAGGCCACAGUCAUGUAAAUGUAGCUCCUCCAGUGAGGACAACAUGUUCACCGCUUGAAGCCAAUUGUGGGAGGCCAUGGAAAGUUUCACACCGCUCAUGUCGAGGUAUCUCAAGGAAGUGAGACGCGAGAGCCAGUGCAGGCCAUCGAUCGUUAAGUCAUAUAGUGAAUUUAGGUUGAGAGAGCGGAGGGUGGACAGGUUGCCCAGCUGGGGCGGAAUGGCUCCGCUGAAGUUGGACCAGGAGAGGUCGAGAUACGUCAACUCGGUAAGGGAACCCAAAAAUUUCGGGAUUUGGAUCCCACCGAAGUCAUUGUGGCUGAGGUUGAGACGCUCCAAAUGAGUUAGCAGGAGCAAGGAUGGUCUGAUCUCACCUCCGAUAGACGUCUCAUUGUUUAGAUAGUCUGGAUUGAGGUUAAGCUCCACGACAUGGCCGGUUCUGUUGUCACAGACCACCCCGCUCCAUCUGCAGCAGUCUACUCGACCUCGCCACGAUGACAAGCGGCUGGAAGGACCCCCGAGGAGACCGGUUUUGAAGUCGAGGAGGGCGUCCCUCUCGCCCUCUACGCACCCCUUCGUCGUCGGCGUUGUUGCCGCCGUGAACAAAAGAAAGCUCGUAAGCCAAAGCCCGAAAGAGUAGUGCCGAGGCACAGGGUGUGUGCUUCUGGUGCAAGAGGCCAUGAUGCUAUUUGGUGAGUGCAUAGUGUACUGAGAGAUGGUCGGCGGUGGAGGACAUGUAUAUAUAGAGUGGGUGUUGGGGCGUGAUGGCCCUCCCAUCCCCAACCCAUCGUAGACUCCUGUGAAACGUGAAGAUUGAUGCACUGGUAGCGAUGGAUAGAUAAAAAGACUUUUGACUUUUGUGGGAUACGACUCCUGCUGGACCUGCAGUCCGUGCACCGUGUAGCUUCCUCGAACUUGGUUUCUACCCUGCCUGGGUCCCAAAAUCGGGGCUCGGUUCGCAAGAACGAAAGAGAUUGAUGCUGGAUUUCAAACUUGAAAGAUACGGCCAUUUAUUCCAGGCGUCGAAAUGUAUGGAGGCGAAGAAUACCUCAUUCCAGGGUUCGAAAUGUUCGCCACCACAUGUCAAACGUCAUCACGGAAGACAAAAGUGUGGAUGAAGACUCCGACCCACCGCAAACGAUUCCUCACCCAAGAUAACACGGUAAGCCAUCGCUCUACAUGUAGCGUCCUUCCGAAGGAGGGAGGAGACUCGACGAGGUUUGUAGCGGAACGCACGCUUCGCUUUCACAUGUGUGGAAGUCUUUGUUGGGAACCCAAAGGCACGCAACAAAUUGAUUCGUUUGAUACACAAGUGAUGAAGAUGAUGAGGAUUUUGUGGGUAAUUGUUCCCACAGUAGCGAAACAAAUGGCUGCAUUUCUUUUCAUCUCUUUCGUUUUCUACAAAAUUCCACUUUUUUGUAUUCCCUUCAAAAUUAAUGAUUUCGUACUUAUUUAAAUUUAACUUGAUUAUGCAACUCUUAUUACCUAAUCACCAAUAAAGAUAUAGAUUUACAACGCAAAUGGAUGGAUCCCAAGUUGAUUCCCAUAUGCUUUUGUUCCCGAGAGAUCAUCCUGGCUAACACCCAAAUGGACGGAUGGGAUGCACUGAGCUACCUUUGACUCCCUGGGUGACUCCGUGAGUUUUCGAAAUCAUCACACAACCAUCUAAUCGACAAACCAUUCCUGCAGCCAAUCAUUAAAAAAACAUUAUUAGCCGUAUAAUAUUUGUACUAUUUCUAAGCAUCAAAUGAACAAGUAUACAAAAUAAAAGCUUGAGAUUAUCCGUCACAUAACCUUUAAAAUGUGAAGUAGGGAUAUUCGAAUGCAUUGACCUUUAAUCCAUCGCCAACCUAGCGAUCCGUAUCUUGAAUGCUACGUAAAUCUUGUCGCACAAGUUAUCCAUCACUCGGAAGUAGAAGAUCCUCCAAUCUUUCUUGAAAAGAAUAAUGAUAAAUACGCUCCAUAAUCCGACCAAAUAUCCGAGUGCAAUGCUGAAAGUAAAUGAUAGCACAUCAGAUUCUGUUUUGUUUUCUUCUUCUUCGAAAUCGACAUUAGUCUCGUUGACGCAACUCUCGGUGACCGGAGGUCCACAGAGAUACGCAUUGCCGAUGUAAAUGGAUGCAUCAUCGAGCGUCCGAAGUUGAUUCCCUGAUGGAAUGACUCCUGAUAGGUUGUUGUACGACAAAUUCAAGUGGCUCAGAGAAUCUAGCGCUGAAAAGCUUUCGGGAAUGACGCCAGAUAACUCAUUGAACGACAGAUCCAAUGUUUCCAAUGACUUCAUCCGACCAACCGCUGCAGGAAUCGUGCCGCCAAAACUAUUUCUGGAUAAAUUUAAGGUUUGCAGUGCAAAAAGAGAACCAAUUUCCGUAGGAAUCACUCCGGAUAGCUCGUUAUCUGAAAGGUCGAUGCUUUUCACGAGAUUGAGAAUGGUCGAGAAACUGAACUCAUCUCCCUUCGUGACCAGAGAUAUGCUUUCGCUGGCCACAAAAGAGGAUAGCACAAACUCUACAUUGUUUGAUAUCGUAGAGGACAUCGACUUGGAGAUAGAGAUCAUCGCACUGAAAUUGCCAAACGAGUGCGGCACUGACCCCGACAGUCUGUUAUUGGAGAGGUCGAUGAUCUGAAGAUCUCUCAGCUGCCCGAGUUGCAUAGGAAUAUUGCCUGAUAACAUAUUCGAGCGCAGUCGAAGCACCUCCAGAUUUUGCAAGCUCUGUCCGAUCCAUGUCGGUAUGUUCCCGGAAAAUUUGUUGUCGCCGAGAUCAAUAAUAGCUAACCGAUUGCAAUAUCGCAACGACGGCGGAAUACGUCCGGAGAGACUGUUGUUGUUUAAGUGCAAGAACUCAAGGUUGCUCAAGUUUCCGAUGGAGUCAGGAAUUUUCCCCCACAGCCUAUUAUUCGACAGAUUAACGAAGAAUAGUUUCGUUGCCUCCUGCCAACACUGAGGGAUUUCUCCGGAUAUCUGGUUGUUCGAUAGAUCGAGAGCAUAGAGUUGCUGCAAGUCGCAGAUGUCGGAUGGUAUGCUUCCCCGAAAAUAAUUGCGGGAGAGGAAUAAGUAUGCCAAGAACGGUGACAGGGUCCAUGGAAGCGAACCGGACAAAGAAUUGUUCGAUAGGUCUAGUGCUUGUAGGUUCGAUGGCAAAGCAGGAAUGUGACCUCGAAGCGUAUUGGAGCUCAAAUUUAAGAACAUCAAGCAGGACAUGCUCUCCAAGGACGCUGGCAGAGUGCCACUGAUUUGAUUGUGGGAGAGGUUGAUAUCCAUGAUGCUGGAAGAAGAAGAAUUCUUCCAGAACCAAAGGGGCACCGCGUCUUGGAUACUCGUGUUGGACAUAUCCAAAUCCAUGAUGGAUUUCUGGGAACGAAGCCACGUGGGAAACGUAGGGCCCAAUUUAAUGGCGUCCAAUUUAACGGUCUGGAGUUGAAACGGCGGGACCCAGUUGUGGUGGAAUUGCAUGGCCAAGGGGUUGUCGUACAGGCACAGGACGAUUAGUUUUGUGAUGUUAGCGAAAUGGCGUUCGGACACAGUUCCCUCCAAAUAGCUACUGGAGAGAUCGAGGGUGAUUAGGUUGGAAAGCUUGCUAAUCUCUGGUGGUAUAAGUCCGGAGAGCAGAUUAUGACUCAGGUCGAGAUUGGUUAGAUUAGACAGAUUCCCGAUCUCGAUGGGUAUUUGACCCGUCAGUGAAUUACCACUGAGGCUUAGAUCCGUGAGACUAGUCAGGUACCCGAUCUCGGUAGGGAUGGAGCCAAUAAGCGAACAGUGAACGAGGGUUAGCUGUGACAAACGAGUCAUGUUCCCGAUCUGUGGUAGAAGACGACUCGUAAACAAAUUAUGGCUGAGGUCGAGGAGGGUCAGACUGGUCAAACUCCAUAUAUCGGCGGGUAUGGAACCGGCAAGCGAGUUGCCGGUAAGGUCGAGCCGUGUGAGACGAGUCAAGUUUCCAAACCCAGUCGGUAUGGUGCCAUGCAAUUCAGAGUUGCUGAUCGCGAGAUUGGAGAGGCGGGGGAGUUCAAAAAGCCAGUUGGGGAAGGUGGAGUUGAACGAGUUAUCACGGAGCUCCAGAUCGGCGAGGGCCGUGAGGUUGACAUGGGAAAGAGAGGUGGGGAGGGUGGUGAGGCCACAACCGGAUGACAAAUAGAGUUGUUGGAGGGAAGGCAGCCGGUUCACUGCAUGUAUCCAGUUGUGGGAGGCGGUGCUGAGGUUCACGCCGCUCAUGUCGAGGUAUCUCAGGGAAGAGAGACGCGAGAGCCAGUCUAGGCCGUCGGUGGUUAAGUCGUAUGAACGCAGAUCCAGAUAGCGGAGGCUCGACAGGUUGCCCAGCUGGGGCGGAAUGGCUCCGCUGAAGUUGGAC
rnacentral:lncRNA from 1 species